UCUAUCAGCUUUUAUGUUACAGAAUUAAAUUCUACAGAGACUGCUGCUUUUGAUGCCAUCAACCAAUACUUGCAUCCUCGGCCCACUGCUGAUAACCUGAGUCAAGAAGAUCUAAUUGAGGUUAUUGAUUUAACCGUAGAGGAUGAACAAGAAGC